UCCACGCGCCGAGGACGGCAAAGGUAGCGGUUGAAAUGGAACUCCUUCUCCAGUUCCACCAGUUGUCCGCUGGUGUACGCCGUGCGGGCCCGCUUAGAUGACACCGACGAGCCGCCGGUGGGACUCUUCUCUCCGCCACUGCCGGUCUCGCCACCGCCCGACGCUGCCGAGAGACAAAAGAAGACAUCAGCAGAAGAAACAAGACUUGCUGAAACGUGUCCGAGACUGUAGUGGCAUUUUCAACCGUUUUGUUGGGACGGAUCUGACUUGACCGACAACCUGGCAGUCAAGUCAUCAGAUACUGAAACCCUCUUAGCAAUCCAACCUCCAACCCGUUUUGGUUCCUGUUUUCUUCCUGGUGGCACCAGCAGCGAGAGGAGGUGAUGGAUGCAUGCGCAGACUUGCAACAUCCUAACGAAUGGAACUUUUGUACUUUUUAUCAAAUUUUUAUUAUUUUGGAAAUGCAUCGCCAUUUUCCAAGAGUUUUGGAUAUUAAGAUUAGAUGUGAUGUUUUUAUCCAGGAGGACUUUAAGAAUUUUUGUGACAAAAUGUGCAUGAAAAAGUCAGGUUUUCUGUAUUAUUAUUUAUAUUGUAUUUUCUCCCAAAGACAAUUAAAAACGCUAUGAUUGACGAUG